UACGUAGGGCGCAAGCGUUAUCCGGAAUUAUUGGGCGUAAAGAGCUCGUAGGCGGUUUGUCGCGUCUGCCGUGAAAGUCCGGGGCUCAACUCCGGAUCUGCGGUGGGUACGGGCAGACUAGAGUGAUGUAGGGGGAGACUGGAAUUCCUAGUGUAGCGGUGAAAUGCGCAGAUAUCAGGAGGAACACCGAUGGCGAAGGCAGGUCUCUGGGCAUUAACUGACGCUGAGGAGCGAAAGCAUGGGGAGCGAACAGG
rnacentral:rRNA from 1 species